AGGAUCAUUAUCGAAUUUCGAGAGGGGAAGAUGGGGAGGGUGGAGACUGUCGCUGGCUUCCGCUCGGAAGCAUGUGCACGUCUAUCUUCUCGUCGACCUUUCUCUUAGUCUUCACACCUGUGCACCCUUUGUAGGUCCUCGAAAGAGGAUCUAUGUUUUUAUCAUCACACCCAUCGCAUGUCUAUAGAAUGUAUCAUGAUCGUCGAACGACUUCACGGUCGGGCGGCGGUCGAACAAAUAAAUACAACUUUCAGCAACGGAUCUCUUGGCUCUCGCAUCGAUGAAGAACGCAGCGAAUUGCGAUAAGUAAUGUGAAUUGCAGAUUUUCAGUGAAUCAUCGAAUCUUUGAACGCACCUUGCGCUCCUUGGUAUUCCGAGGAGCAUGCCUGUUUGAGUGUCAUGGAAUUCUCUCAACCAUGUCUUGAUCGAUUUCGAGGCAUGGCUUGGAUGGUGGGGGUUGCUGGCGGCGACAGCUGUCGGCUCUCCUGAAAUGCAUUAGCGAUGGACAGCAAGUCUGACGUGCACGGCCUCGACGUCAUAAUGAUCGUCGUGGCUGGAGUGUCGGACGAGCGCUAACACCGUCCGUUCGCUUCCAAUCCUUGACUUGGAACUUGGACUUUUCGAGCAAAGCUUUAGCUACUAGUUGGUCGUGAGGCCGACGAACGCGCGGGCUAGCUCGGAGGUCCGGAAGGGGUUCCUCGUCUUCUUUGACGACUUGACCUCAAAUCAGGUAGGACUACCCGCUGAACUUAAGCAUAUCAAUAAGCGGAGGAAAAGAAACUAACAAGGAUUCCCCUAGUAACUGCGAGUGAAGCGGGAAGAGCUCAAAUUUUGAAUCUGGCGGUCUUCGGCCGUCCGAGUUGUAAUCUAGAGAAGCGUUUUCCGCGCUGGCCCGUGUACAAGUCUCCUGGAAAGGAGCAUCAUAGAGGGUGAGAAUCCCGUCUUUGACACGGACUACCAGUGCUAUGUGAUGCGCUCUCGACGAGUCGAGUUGUUUGGGAAUGCAGCUCAAAACGGGUGGUAAAUUCCAUCUAAAGCUAAAUACAGGCGAGAGACCGAUAGCGAACAAGUACCGUGAGGGAAAGAUGAAAAGAACUUUGGAAAGAGAGUUAAACCGUACGUGAAAUUGCUGAAAGGGAAACGCUUGAUGUCAGUCGCGUCGGCCGGGGAUCAACCUUGCUUCUCGCUGGGUGUAUUUCCUGGUCGACGGGUCAGCAUCAGUUUCGGUCGCCGUACAAGGACGAGGGGAACGUGGCACUCUCCGGAGUGUGUUAUAGCCUUUCGUCGUAUGCGGUGGUCGGGACUGAGGAACUCGGCACGACUC
rnacentral:rRNA from 1 species